rnacentral:rRNA from 1 species
ACGGGAGGCAGCAGUCGGGAAUAUUGCGCAAUGGAGGAAACUCUGACGCAGUGACGCCGCGUAUAGGAAGAAGGUUCUAGGAUUGUAAACUAUUGUCAUCUGGGAAGAUAAAAGACUGUACCAGAGGAGGAAGCCCCGGCUAACUAUGUGCCAGCAGCCGCGGUAAUACAUAGGGGGCAAGCGUUAUCCGGAAUUAUUGGGUGUAAAGGGUGCGUAGACGGAGAAACAAGUUGGUUGUGAAAUCCCUCGGCUUAACUGAGGAACUGCAACCAAAACUAUUUCCCUUGAGUGUCGGAGGGGAAAGUGGAAUUCCUAGUGUAGCGGUGAAAUGCGUAGAUAUUAGGAGGAACACCGGUGGCGAAGGCGACUUUCUGGACGAUAACUGACGUUGAGGCACGAAAGUGUGGGGAGCAAACAGGAUUAGAUACCCUGGUA